rnacentral:rRNA from 1 species
UACGUAGGGUGCGAGCGUUAAUCGGAAUUACUGGGCGUAAAGCGUGCGCAGGCGGCUUCGCAAGUCAGACGUGAAAUCCCCGGGCUUAACCUGGGAUUGGCGUUUGAAACUACGGAGCUGGAGUAUGGCAGAGGGGGGUGGAAUUCCACGUGUAGCGGUGAAAUGCGUAGAUAUGUGGAGGAACACCGAUGGCGAAGGCAGCCCCCUGGGCCAAUACUGACGCUCAUGCACGAAAGCGUGGGGAGCAAACAGG